rnacentral:rRNA from 1 species
AUGAUCCGGAGCAAGAUCACCUACUACGCCAUGUUGAUGUCGGAGCGCCGCUAUGAGAUCCAGCAGGAGAUCCGGAGCAUGAUCUUUUCUACAGAGGCGCCUACCUGCCUGUCCAGGUUGCUGCUGCUGCUGCUGCUGUAUGUGAUCGAUCCAUAUCGCCAAAGAGCAAACAACUGUAUUGAUCUUCCUUCAGAUCUUCCGUCAGGUCAGGCCGCGACCGUGGCGCAGCUGGUAGGCGCAGACAUCGGCGGGCUCAUCUCCAUGAUCAUGCAGUCUGCGAUGACGGCCAGGAAGAACAGGUCCGAGUGCGAGCAGCUUGCGCGUCGGGUCCUCAUGAUUGCGCAGCUAUUACCACACGUGCAGGAGCCAGAGGCGGCGCAGCCGCUGGCCGGCAUUGGGGAUACUCUUCGGAGCGCCCACGAGCUCGUCUUGUCCUGCCAGGGGAGGAGUACGGCGUACCAGUUUGUCAUGGCUGGCAGGACGGCCGAGAGGUUCAGGGAGGAUGGCUCCACCAGAGAUGAACGGUCGCAUCCACUUCCACAGUCGUCCCAGCUGCAGGAAUCUUUUGUGAUGGCUCAGGAUGUACUACCACAUGGAACCCAGGAAUUUACGUUGGCAGAGAUCGUGGCCGCCACUAAUAACUUUGCCAUUGACACCAAGAUCGGUUAUGGCUGCUUUGCAAGGGUGUACAGGGGAAGGCUUUACGAUGGGCAAGAGGUGGCCAUCAAGCACUUCUGUAACCAUGAUGAGUACUCCGUAGAGGUCUUUAGCACAGAGCUCGGCAUUCUAUCACGGCUCCGACACAAACACAUCAUCUGCCUCCUUGGAUCGUGUGUAAGUGUGAGCAAGGACAAGCACCCGCUAACCACCCGACAAAAGAUAAAAAAGAGCCUACUGACCAGAUGGAGAAAGGAGCCGGAAGAUCCUGAAAAGCCAGAGAGGCUGAUCGUCUACGAGUACAUGGAGAAUGGCACGCUCCAGGACCUCCUGCGUCCUGAUGACGGCUCCUCCAUGCUGUCGCCAGUGACGGUGUCCUGGAAGAUGCGCAUCAAUGUGCUCCUUGGCGUGUCACACGCCAUCGAGCACUUACACUGUCAUGCCAACCCGCCGAUCAUCCACCGGGACAUCAAGUCAGCUAACAUCCUUUUUGACGCCAGUUGGGUGCCUCGUUUGUCAGACUUUGGCUCCUCGGUUGUAUGGGACAUGGCAACUCAGGAGGAGGGGAUGGAGGUCCCAGCUAUAGGCACAUUUGGGUACAUAGCCCCUGAGUGCAUCAUGUAUUGUCGUCUGAAGCCGGCGAGCGACGUGUACAGCCUGGGCGUGGUGAUGCUCGAGGUUCUGACAGGGAAAAGUGCAUAUUCUCAAUUGAAGGAUGAUGGGACAGGUGGACCUUUGACAGACUUCGCACUCCCCAUCAUUGAAGUCGGUAAUAUUGAGGAGUUGUUGGACAGGCGACCUGUACCGGAGCCAACGCCUUGGCAGCUGCAGGCGAUGAAACGUGUGGCGCAGAUUGCAUGGUGCUGCGGGAAGUUGGAUGCGAAGGACCGGCCGGCCAUAUCAGACAUUGUUGCCAACCUCGAGAUGGCGUAUGAGUUAAUCUGCAGAGACGAGCACGGUUCAGUUGACGAGCCAUGUUUGUGGCCCUUCGUCGAACAAAUUGACCUCCCAUUGGACUCACCACACUCCAGGAGCUUGUCAUCGGCAGGCUACCAUUCCGAGCUGGAAUCUGAGGUGUUGGACUUGGAGGAGGGGCGUUGA